CCGCAUGUCUGUGCAUCUUUGAGGUUCCUGGAAGGCUGAGUGCGGAGCUUCCUGAGGCAAAACUCCUGUGGACCCACCAGGAAGCUGGUCUUGAAAGAUGCUGCACCAGACGACUCGUCCACUCACUAGAGACUCACUUUGCCGGAGAAGGGCUCGGGCGUCGUUGGAAGAACCCAAAGCCAGGCAUGAAAGGACCUCAGCCAGGGAGGGCACCGCAUUCACACAAAUGCUGCGUGUUCCCAUGGAAACAGCACAAAACCUGACCGAGGAAAUGAAUGCUGAAUUGGACUGAUUCCCCGUGAAUAAAGGGGAGAAACGCAAAGCAAUGUAAACAAAG
rnacentral:lncRNA from 1 species